rnacentral:lncRNA from 1 species
UUUUCACUCGUCGCAUUAAGCCUCGCCAUCACACGUAUAGCCAAAUCCAUUAAAUUAACUAACAAAAACAUGGUUAAUAACUUAAUUCAAACUGUAAACUAUUCUUUUUAAAAAAUAAAAAAUGAAGAUAAUAUUUUUCUCAUCUGCUCUUAGUGUAAACUAUUCUAUCAAAAUUACAGAAUGGAGAUAAUAUUUUUCAUUCACUGCUCUAAGUGUAAACAAUUCUAACAGAAUAACAAAAUGGAAAUGAUAUUUUCCUUCACUACUCCAACUGUAAACUAUUCCAUUAAACUUACAGAAUGGAGAUAAUAUUUUUUCUUCACUGCUUCUAGUGUAAAUUAUUCUAAUAAAACUUCAAUACGUAAUGCCUUAUUAUUCACAAAUCCAAAGCCUAAACUACAAACAAAAACACCCAACUUCAGAUCUAUACAUACAGAUUACAUAAACACAUAAACAAAAAAUCAAAAGGGUAUGCAUAAUUUCUGAAAAUAAUUGGUAUACACAAAGAGAAGUCAGGUAAGCUCUUAAAUAGAGCCACCACCACGACAUAGUCACUACUGCACCCAAACACUGCGACCACGACCAAUAGAGCCGUCGUCGCUGUCGUCAUCGCCACCAGAGCCAACGAACCACAUAUCAGAAAAUCAUCACACUCCCACAACCACUACGAGCACCACCGCAUCUAUACAACCAUCUCCAAAAUUACCACCACCACAACAGGGAGUCGCCGCUUUCAACAACGAUGGCAUCGUCGGCGUGGCAAAGUUCUCCAUGCUGUCGAAGAUGGCGGGGUGGACGGAUUAGUGGGUAGAGCGAGAAGUUAGAGAGAAGGAAGAGAGUGAGGAUGAGGGUAAAAAUGAAUAUGAUUUUGGGAUGGAACUUACUUGAGGUACA